UACGUAGGGGGCAAGCGUUGUCCGGAUUUAUUGGGCGUAAAGAGCGUGUAGGCGGCCAGACAGGUCAGCUGUGAAAACUCGAGGCUCAACCUCGAGACGUCGGUUGAAACCGUCUGGCUAGAGUCCGGAAGGGGAGAGUGGAAUUCCCGGUGUAGCGGUGAAAUGCGCAGAUAUCGGGAAGAACACCCGUGGCGAAGGCGGUUCUCUGGGACGGUACUGACGCUGAGACGCGAAAGCGUGGGGAGCGAACAGG
rnacentral:rRNA from 1 species